AUUGAACGCUGGCGGCAUGCCUUACACAUGCAAGUCGAACGGUAACAGGUCUUCGGAUGCUGACGAGUGGCGAACGGGUGAGUAAUACAUCGGAACGUGCCUAGUAGUGGGGGAUAACUACUCGAAAGAGUGGCUAAUACCGCAUGAGAUCUACGGAUGAAAGCAGGGGAUCGCAAGACCUUGUGCUACUAGAGCGGCCGAUGGCAGAUUAGGUAGUUGGUGGGAUAAAAGCUUACCAAGCCGACGAUCUGUAGCUGGUCUGAGAGGACGAUCAGCAACACUGGGACUGAGACACGGCCCAGACUCCUACGGGAGGCAGCAGUGGGGAAUUUUGGACAAUGGGCGAAAGCCUGAUCCAGCAAUGCCGCGUGCAGGAUGAAGGCCUCCGGGUUGUAAACUGCUUUUGUACGGAACGAAAAGCUCUGGGUUAAUACCCUGGGGUCAUGACGGUACCGUAAGAAUAAGCACCGGCUAACUACGUGCCAGCCGCCGCCGUAAAAC
rnacentral:rRNA from 1 species